rnacentral:rRNA from 1 species
GACAGAGGAUGCAAGCGUUAUCCGGAAUGAUUGGGCGUAAAGCGUCUGUAGGUGGCUUUGUAAGUAAGAGGUGAAAGCCCAGAGCUCAACUCUGGAAUUGCCUUUUAGACUGCAUCGCUUGAAUCAUGGAGAGGUCAGUGGAAUUCCGAGUGUAGAGGUGAAAUUCGUAGAUAUUCGCAAGAACACCAGUGGGCGAAGGCGGCUCACUGGCCCGAUACUGACAGUCAGGCGCGAAAGCGUGGGGAGCAAACAGG